AUGUAUGAUGGUAUCACAGUGUUCACACCACACCUUUUGGUCUAUUUAAAUCCACACACUCAUUUAUCUUUUCGUACUCCAACUCAAUUUAUCUUUUCGUACUCCAACUCAAGAACCAUGUCCAGAACCAUCAUCCUCUUCCUCCUCCUUGCCCUCUUCUCUAUGUCGUCCUCCGAGGCUCGACUCGUGCCCGCUCUUUCAGAGGCCGUCACCUCCACCAUCUCUGCCGCGACACAAAAGGGCACCGUUGUUGAAGAUAGUUGUAACGGUAUCGCGACAGACGAGUGUUUGGAAAGAAGGACACUCGUUGCUCAUCUCGACUAUAUUUACACCAAUGACAAAAAACCUUGAGAAAUUAUACGGUCUGUUCGAUCGAUCUUUUUGUUUCACUAUAAGUUGUGUGGCGUUUAAUUUGCUUGAUUUGGCCAUAUAUAUAUACAUAUAUAUAUAUAUAGUUGUGUACAUGAAAUGGAAAUCAUAAAAUAUAUGAAUCAAAGAGGGUCAGAAAGCAAGAUACAGAUCGAGGGACUGAUGUUUGUAAAAAGUUUGUUUGUUUGUUUGUUCAUAUACGAUGUAUACCUUCAAAUCAUAUCAUAUAUUUAAUAAACAAUAUAUCACUUUAACUGAUUUA